GAAGGACUUCAUGGCGGAUGUGGGUUGGGCCUUCGAGCUUCUGAAGCAUCGUCACCAGGAAAGAUUACCCAGUGGAACACUGCGGCAGCAUCUCUGCCCCAACAACUGUUCCCCACUUGGUGAGACAUUCAAUUCUCUGUCCUACAAGACAGAGUCAGUGAUCCCCUAGGUGAACACCAGCACUCCAAUUACAGGACCAUCUGCCAGAGUGACCAAGCAGGGACCCGAUGUUAUGCUCCAGAAGGACAGUGUGCUUCUGGCACGAGGCACAGCAAAUGCUCCAUUAAACUAGAAGCUAAGACUCCUCCUCUUCCUGGCCACCUGGGCUCCUCAUACCAUUGGACCAGUAGUCUAAAAAGGAACAACAGGACAUAUGAUUGACCCAGACUUCAAGGAAAAACUGGAUGAGUCUCCACAAUGGAGGUAAGAAAUGCAGAUGACUGAAAUGCAGAAAAUCCUUUAGGAUGUCUCUUGGUGUUAACAUGUCAAUGAAAAAAAUCCAAUCACCCAAUCCAGGUUGGCUGUUAAGUGGCCUAGAGCCGUCAAGAAUGAAGGUGCUGGUCACCCCUUCAUACAAAGAACCAAAAUCUGCUGAGAUGCCUGCUGAGGUGUAUAAGCCACCAUCCAGAGGAGUCAGGGAAGGAACUCAAGGCAAGAACCUGGAGACCGGAAUCGAUGCAGAGACCAUGGAGAGCAUGAGGAGAAGUGACCGGGUGUCAAGCUGAUGAGAGGCAGACAUGUGAUGGAUAAUCCUGGUGGUCAAUUUAA